GUUUAUUUAUAAGAGGUCUAGCCUGCCCAGUGACAAGAUUUAACGGCCGCGGUACCCUAACCGUGCGAAGGUAGCAUAAUCACUUGUUCUUUAAAUGAGGACCUGUAUCAACGGCAUCACGAGGACUCUACUGUCUCCCCCCUCUAAUCAGUGAAACUAAUCUCCCCGUGAAGAAGCGGGGAUAAACAUAUAAGACGAGAAGACCCCAUGGAGCUUUAAACCUGACGACACCCAUUUGCUCUACACCCCAUUAUCCACGUGGCCCCUGUCUGCUCAGUUUUAGGUUGGGGUGACCACGGAGUAUAAAAAAACCUCCAUGAGAGAGGGAUAAGUUCCCUUAUUAAAGAAUUACCUUUCCAAAAACUAAUAAAUUAAUUUUUAAUGAUCCGACAAUCGAUCAACGAACCAAGUUACCCUGGGGAUAACAGCGCAAUCCACCUCGAGAGCCCCUAUCGACAGGUGGGUUUACACCCUCGAUGUUGGAUCAGGGUAUCCCAGUGGUGCAGCAGCUACCAAAGGUUCGUUUGUUCAACGAUUAAAACCCU
rnacentral:rRNA from 1 species